rnacentral:lncRNA from 1 species
UCAAUUAUAAAAUAAAACCCAAUAAAAUAAUUUAUUCCAUUUAAGUCCCUAAUUAACUUGACUUUGACCAGUCGAACCUUUGACUUUGAAUAAAUAAUAUUAACCUUUGACUAGUAAAAAUUGGAGGUGUAACAUAGCGUCUUAAGACUCCUCAAUAAAUACUUCAACUCCAAUCUUAUUGAGGGACUUGUUUUUGGUCUAAACCAAAAUGACUAAUGCUACUUAUUCUAAUCAUUCUACAACUAUUUUCCUCUCCUCACACUCCUUUUUGCCUCUACUUUGUUAUGGCUGAGGCUCGUCAUUCGUUUUCUCCUUUAAUCUCAUCAAUCUUCUUCAAUUCUAACCAU